rfam:Gallaecimonas xiamenensis 3-C-1 contig48, whole genome shotgun sequence.
CGGCGCUUUGGGAGCUGCAACCCAAGGGCGGUAGCGUG